rnacentral:rRNA from 1 species
GACGAACGCUGGCGGCGUGCUUAACACAUGCAAGUCGAACGGAAAGGCCCUGCUUUUGUGGGGUGCUCGAGUGGCGAACGGGUGAGUAACACGUGAGUAACCUGCCCUUGACUUUGGGAUAACUUCAGGAAACUGGGGCUAAUACCGGAUAGGAUCUCCUGCUGCAUGGUGGGGGUUGGAAAGUUUCGGCGGUUGGGGAUGGACUCGCGGCUUAUCAGCUUGUUGGUGUGGUAGUGGCUUACCAAGGCCUUGACGGGUAGCCGGCCUGAGAGGGUGACCGGCCACAAUGGGACUGAGAUACGGACCAGACUCCAACGGGAGGCAGCAGUGGAGAAUAUUGCACAGUGGGCGGGAGCCUGAUACAACGGCGCCGCGUGCGGGAAGACGGCCUUCGGGGUGUAAACCGCUUUCGCCUGAGACGAAGCGUGAGUGACGGUAAUGAGUAAAGAAGCACCGGCUAACUACGUG